AUUGAACGCUGGCGGCAGGCCUAACACAUGCAAGUCGAGCGGAUGAAGGGAGCUUGCUCCUGGAUUCAGCGGCGGACGGGUGAGUAAUGCCUAGGAAUCUGCCUGGUAGUGGGGGAUAACGUCCGGAAACGGGCGCUAAUACCGCAUACGUCCUGAGGGAGAAAGUGGGGGAUCUUCGGACCUCACGCUAUCAGAUGAGCCUAGGUCGGAUUAGCUAGUUGGUGGGGUAAAGGCCUACCAAGGCGACGAUCCGUAACUGGUCUGAGAGGAUGAUCAGUCACACUGGAACUGAGACACGGUCCAGACUCCUACGGGAGGCAGCAGUGGGGAAUAUUGGACAAUGGGCGAAAGCCUGAUCCAGCCAUGCCGCGUGUGUGAAGAAGGUCUUCGGAUUGUAAAGCACUUUAAGUUGGGAGGAAGAGCAGUAAGUUAAUACCUUGCUGUUCUGACGGUACCAACAGAAUAAGCACCGGCUAACUUCGUG
rnacentral:rRNA from 1 species